UGUUAGCCUGCUUUAAUUAGAGAAAGGACAAUUAGCAUCAGUGUUAUUCCACAUUUCUUGGGUUAUAUUUAUAUUCAAAAAUAUAAAGAGAUUAGUUAGCAUAUGUUUGGUCCAGAGGAUGAUCCACAGUGAUGUUGUGUUCUGCAGCCGAGCACUGAAUGACUUUUCCCACCAGAAGAUCGUCCAGCAUGUAGCAGCAGAUUAUUAUAUAGGCAACUGUGUACUGUCUGUAAUUGGUAAAUCACAUUUUCUGCUGUAUUUAGAAAAAGGAACCAUCACUUUAUUUGAAUAAAUGAAUAAACAAAAUGCAGGUAUAUGGAGGAAACUCAGAUGUCCCAGUUUUACACUGGGACAUGAACACAGCAUAAGUUUGCGGAUCUCGGCGAAGCUGGCAGUGUGAAAUUUGUCUCAAAAUUAUACAUAUUAUACACAUUUGUAAAUCAUACCGUACGUGCACUUGCAACCGUUUUGAGGUUUCUCUCCAUAUAUAAAUAGCGACUGUAAAUGUCAGUUUAAAUCGUCUUACCUGUAAAACUUGCCGUCUUUACCGGAAGUCAAUGUACACACCUUAACGGGUGGGAGUGUUUAUUUUUUCCAGUGUAACUGAAAAGUUAAGUUUCAUUUUCCUGUUCUGGAAAAUCAUGUGUUAUUUAGUCGGCGACAGAGAUUACAAUUACAAAAUGGAGAGCAGUCUGUUCCCAGAACUUUUUUGGAAAAAAGACAAGGACAACGAAAAGGAAGAAGGAAGAACUAGCCAUAAGAAAAGAAAGAGAGUCACGGAUGAUAAAGAUGAAAAGAACCUCUGGCGUGUAAAAUGUGGAACCAAAAAGGGUUGGAUGGAUGUAGAGAAGUUGAGAAAAGGUAAGGAUUGUAUUGAGUUUGAAGGCUCCUUUUACAGUCCACCUGAGUUUGAGAAGCUUGCAGGAAAAGACUCAUGUAGAAAAUGGAAGUCAUCUAUUUACCACAAGAAAGCUCCUCUGCACUUUUGGUUCAAGAACGCAAGGAAGAUCAUGAUGAAGAUGAGGAUGGAGAAGAGGAUGAUGAGGAUAUGGAUGAAGAUUAUGUAUGGGACAAUGAGCAGGGCACUAAGAAAAAUGAAGAUAAAAAAGCUACACAGAUUUAUAUCUCUUCUGAAGAAGAAGAAAGCGAGGAAGAUCCUGUUGAAGAUGAAGAUGAGGAUGGAGAACAAGAAGAUGAGCAUAUGGAUGAAGAUGAUGUAGGUAACGAUGAGCGUAGCACUGAGGAUGAUGAGGAUGAAGAAAGUGAUAAUGGUGAGGAUGAGACUGUGCCUGCUGUUGCCUCUAACCAUACUGACAGCAGUGGUAUCAAAGAGAGAGUAACACCUACAAUUCCAACACCUGGAAAACAUGCAUUAGAGAUGAAAGAAGUAAAGGGUAUCGUUAACAUCCUUCCUGAGAAGACUAGACAUCAUUCUGACAUGCCAAGAUCUGAAGUCAGUGGAAAUAACAAAGAUGUGGCAAAAAACACAGCAAUCAAACAGCAAAAUGUUAAGAAACAACCUGAAGAGAAACUGAAAAAGACAACAACAAGCACAAUUUCAAUACCUGGGAAACCUGCACUAAAGAUGAAAGAAGCUAAUGGUAUCGUUAAAAGCCUUCCUGAGAAGGCUAGACAUCAUCCUGACACGACAAGACCUGAAGUCAUUGGAAAUAUCAGAGAUGUGGCAACAAACACAGCAAUCAAACAGCUGAAUGUUAAGAAAGAACCCAAAGAGGAACUGAAACACAAGGAAGAUCGUGUUAAAGAUCAAGAUGAAGAUGAAGAACAAGAAGAUGAGCAUAUGGAUGAAGAUGAUGUUGGUGAUGAUGAGCUUAGCACUGAGGAAGAUGAGGAUGAAGAAAGUGAUCAUGGUGAGGAUGAGACUGUGCCUGCUGUUGCCUCUAACCAUACUGGCAGCAGUGGUAUCAAAG
ensembl:lncRNA